rnacentral:rRNA from 1 species
UGGGGAAUAUUGGACAAUGGGGCACCCGUAGCAUCCAGCAAUGCCGCAGCUGUGUGAAGAAGGUUUUCGGAUUGUAAAGCACUUUCGACGGGGACGAUGAUGACGGUACCCGUAGAAGAAGCCCCGGCUAACUUCGUGCCAGCAGCCGCGGUAAUACGAAGGGGGCGUAGCGUUGCUCGGAAUGACUGGGCGUAAAGGGCGUGUAGGCGGUUUGUACAGUCAGAUGUGAAAUCCCCGGGCUUAACCUGGGAGCUGCAUUUGAUACGUGCAGACUAGAGUGUGAGAGAGGGUUGUGGAAUUCCCAGUGUAGAGGUGAAAUUCGUAGAUAUUGGGAAGAACACCGGUGGCGAAGGCGGCAACCUGGCUCAUAACUGACGCUGAGGCGCGAAAGCGUGGGGAGCAAACA